rnacentral:rRNA from 1 species
GACGAACGCUGGCGGCGUGCUUAACACAUGCAAGUCGAACGGAAAGGCCCUGCUUUUGUGGGGUGCUCGAGUGGCGAACGGGUGAGUAACACGUGAGUAACCUGCCCUUGACUUUGGGAUAACUUCAGGAAACUGGGGCUAAUACCGGAUAUGAGCUCCUGCUGCAUGGUGGGGGUUGGAAAGUUUCGGCGGUUGGGGAUGGACUCGCGGCUUAUCAGCUUGUUGGUGGGGUAGUGGCUUACCAAGGCUUUGACGGGUAGCCGGCCUGAGAGGGUGACCGGCGACAAUGGGACUGAGAUACGGCCCAGACUCCUACGGGAGGCAGCAGUGGGGAAUAUUGCACAAUGGGCGGAAGCCUGAGGCAGCAACGCCGCGUGCGGGAUGACGGCCUUCGGGUUGUAAACAGAUUUCGCCUGUGACGAAGCGUGAGUGACGGUAAUGGGUAAAGAAGCACCGGCUAACUACGUG